UACGAAGGGGGCUAGCGUUGCUCGGAAUCACUGGGCGUAAAGCGCACGUAGGCGGAUUGUUAAGUCAGGGGUGAAAUCCUGGAGCUCAACUCCAGAACUGCCUUUGAUACUGAGAAGCUUGAGUCCGGGAGAGGUGAGUGGAACUGCGAGUGUAGAGGUGAAAUGCGUAGAUAUCGUAAGGAAGACCAGUGGCGAAGGCGGGUCUCUGGACAGUUCCUGACGCUGAGGCACGAAGGCCAGGGGGGCAAACGGG
rnacentral:rRNA from 1 species